GAUAAACGCGGGCGGCGUGCAUAACACAUGCAAGUCGAACGAUGAACCUUAAUUGAUUUCUUCGGAAUGAAAAUAAGUGGAUUAGUGGCGAACGGGUGAGUAACACGUGAGUAACCUGCCUUACACAAGGGGAUAGCCUUUGGAAACGAAGAAUAAUACCCUAUAAAGUUAGUCAAUCGCAUGGUAGACUAACCAAAGAUUUAUCGGUGUAAGAUGGACUUGCGUCUGAUUAGCUAGUUGGUGAGAUAAAAGCCCACCAAGGCGACGAUCAGUAGCCGGCUUGAGAGAGUGUACGGCCACAUUGGGACUGAGACACGGCCCAAACUCCUACGGGAGGCAGCAGUGGGGAAUUUUGCACAAUGGGGGAAACCCUGAUGCAGCGACGCCGCGUGAUUUAGAAGGCCUUCGGGUUGUAAAAAUCUUUUUUAUGGGAUGAAAAUGACAGUACCAUAAGAAUAAGGUCCGGCUAAAUACGUGCCAGCAGCCGCGGUAAUACGUAUGGACCGAGCGUUGUCCGGAAUCAUUGGGCGUAAAGGGUACGUAGGCGGCCUAGUAAGUUAGAAGUGAAAUAAUAUAGCUCAACUAUAUAAAGCUUUUAAAACUGUUAGGCUUGAGAGAUGAAAGGGAAAGUGGAAUUCCUAGUGUAGCGGUGAAAUGCGCAGAUAUUAGGAAGAAUACCGGUGGCGAAGGCGACUUUCUGGUCAUCAUCUGACGCUGAGGUACGAAAGCGUGGGUAGCAAACAGG
rnacentral:rRNA from 1 species